UGUCCCAUCCGGUCCCAUCAGAGCUUUAAAACGCUGCUGUAGCUUUAAGAGACCUGUGCGUUAAAACCUGCAGAAGGAAACUGUCCAGAGGUGUCCACGACUGUUAGAUAUCUCAUCUUAAGACUUAUCUAAUCCAAAAUACCAUCUCUGAAAGUGUUCGUGUCGGGUAUCGUGCUAUUUAUGCGCUCAUUUAAAGGAAGUUAUGCCCUCCGCUGCGGUGCAGAGGACAGGACAGAGAUGCUGCACUGAAUCUGCUGCCAGCCUGCUGCACUCCGACUGAACCGUGAAAUGCAGCUUUUUGAGAGGACCGUUAACGGCGCGCAACGGACACAUUCAACCGUUUUCCGGGCGGAGUAUUCCUGCAGAAGAUAGUCCAAUGAAUGUGUGUGUGCUGGGACACAUAACAGCAACGAGAUGGCCCACUGUCCAGACCCGUGGUUGCCACGGGUGACAGUUCGGCAUGAGUACAUUGGCCCGAGGUCCUACCAGGUGCCUCCCCUCACAUCUGUUGAAGAUGUCAAACAAUUGCUCUACGAGGAGACAAACCUGCCUGUCA